CUCCUCAAUUUUGAGCCAGAUCAGCUAGGCAUGUAAAAAUAUUUUCUGAUGGUAUACCUGCUACUAUUGUUUCAGUUGGAAGACCAUUCAGGGUCUAACUUAAAAGACUUUAAAGUGAAGCAGGCAGAAGUCCACUUCUGAAAGAGAAAAGAUACAAUGGCUUCCUGAGAGUGAUGGUAAAAGCUACUGAAAGUAAUGGGAGCAGAAGGUGUUUGUACCACAGCUCCUGAAUUCACACAGGAUGAAGCAGAAAUUUAUUCUUUGACAAACAUGGAGGGCAGCAUUGGAAUCAAAGGAUGUGAGUCCAAGUCUUGGCUUUUCAAAUUAUAUCAGACUUGCUCUUAACUUCUUAUGUGUGGUGAAUUCAAGAAUCUGUACCUGCCCACUAGCAACAAAACUACAGUGAAGGAGCAGAAUGCCUGUUUGACUCACCCUGACAGAUCAGCUUUGGCAGGUCUGCUGUUGCAGAAAAUUCUCCACCCCAGAGGUUUUAUCUCUCCUGCAGGGAAGGCUCAUGAGCAAAUGCUGUCAUUAGCAACCAUGCACUGUUGAAGACAUAUAGUGAGAAAAUAUGUCAUGCAUUGUUUCCAUGUACCAAUUUUAGUAUAAAAUCAUGAAGAAUUUUCAAGAUAUUAACUACAAGUUAAAACAAUUUUUAACCUAAAUCCUGAGA